UAGUAAUAAACAGCACAAGUAUGAUCACUCACCAUAUUGAUCCUUGUCUGGUGGUGGCAGUGGUAACACUAGAGCAAGAAGUGGGAUGUAAUUACAUUUUAUGUGCCAGGAAUCUCUGAGAUUUCAGAGGGCUGAGGGUGAGGGUUCUCUCCUCCUCCUCCACACUACCUCCCUACUCCCCAGCUGACAUGGUGUUUCUGGGGAACUGAAACUGGGAAGCCCUAAAUGGACUUCACACCUUGGCAGAGACCCUUGAGCAGGAUUUGUGUCUCCUCUAAAGUCAUGUUCCCCAGGCUCAGCAAGGCACUGCAGGGAGCAGCAACCUUGUCAAAGGAGGCUCUAAGCUCAGUCUGGAUUCAAUGGGAGACUGGUAAGGUAUUUCAAAACCCAUCACUCAGAAAGACUCAAGUAAAAAUAGUCAGAGGCAGGCAGGACACCAGGAAGGAGGUAUCACACACACUUGCCCUGUUCCUUCUCUUCUAUAAGCAUUUACUUUUGACCACUGCUGGAAACAAGGGCAAUGGGCUAGGCAGUCCUUGUUUUAGUCCUGGAUGACCAUUCCUGCCUUCCAAUGACACACACACUUCCCAGGAUGACAAUCAGUUUAUCAAACUACAUGACCUUUCCCAAAUAAUCUGUAGCACAGACAUAUUCCUAAACUUCCCAACAUCUUUGUCUUCAAAGGUUUGUCAGCCACAUGAGGCAUGUUCCCCCUGCCUUGUGGAAGGAGAGUUGGGAAAGUUAAAAGAGCUCAAAAAUCACUGAAGACACCGCCUCUCAUCAAAGACUUUUCAACAUCAACUUAUAAACUAACUUGAGCCAUCAUUUCUAAACUACAUUUGGGGAGGGGGAGGGGGGGAGGGAUGGACACUAUGUAUUUUUCUUAGGGCUGGAAAUGUUUGCAGAUUUCAGCAUAAAUUGUCCUGCAGGGUUCCAAUGCAUUUGAAAUUUUGCAUUUUUCUGUCAUUGCUGAAGAAAGUAUUCCUUGGAGAAAUGUCACCCAACUUUAGUAGAGAUCAUAACUCACAGGAGAGACCUAUACAACAAUUUCCAUUGGGAUCAAUACUGACCUAAACAGUUGCCUGCUCUUGACGUAACACUGCCAAAUGUCUCUUCAGUGCUUUAUAAAUGGCAAGGCAUAUAGCUACUUAUCAAAACAAGAAAAGUGAUGCAGCAGUGGUUCUGUUCAUGGAGAAUCAGAAGGGAAAGGAAACAGGUGAGCCUUUA
rnacentral:lncRNA from 1 species